GUGGUUUUAUAACCUCCCCGCUGGCUCCUCCUUGUCUCCUCCCUCCUCAGAACUGCAUCAACAGACGAGACGGGUCAUGUGUUUUCUAGAAAAGGAUACGGUGGCAAGAGGCCGCAUGAUGGGAUGUAUGGCGGAACAAAACGGCGUGUACGUGCACGUAGGCACAGUCAACGCCUGCGGCUGUUCUGAUGAAAGAGAUCUUAAUGGAGGUGCAGAGGGACGGGACUACUGCGACAUGUAGACCGACCAGAUCCACUAGUUUACACCACGAGGGAGGUGAAAUCAUAAUAAGUAUCUGCUGCUGUCAUCGGAUGUUAAAGGCCACAUUCAAAACAAGAGGUAGUGCAGCAAAGAAGAGCACGUCAUCUCCGUGCUAUGUAAACACAUAAACAAUGCGUGCACUCGCAUGGGCAUCACCCCUCCCCCCCCGCCGUGUGUGUGUCUCAGAAAUGGAAAUUUUUACAUUUAUGAUGCCUUAAACUUUAUUGUCACACCCCAGUGAUGAAUGGCCAUGGCCAAACGACAGUUCAAAGAAAUCCCCCGUCUGAGUCACAACACGCAGCUACCGGUGAAGUGGCAUGACUGCAGCUGUUCCAGCAUUUCAGUCUCACGUACACAAACAGUGAAAUACAGGCACACUCACAUGCAACCUAGAAGAGGCUGAGACUUCUUACUAGUAAAAAUAGCAAAGGCAAAUACACUUCAUUACAAGUAGACAGCAGUAGACAGUAGGAGGAAUGAUUGUUCUUCUAUUUUUUUUUUUUUUUUUACUGUGGGGUAGUUUAAUCAACAUCAAAGCCUAAAAAAACAUCAUAUUUUAUAAGAUGAUCUGUUUUGUAAAACCAGCUGUCUAGUAGGUGAAAAGUACAUUCCUCUCUCAAAUAUAGUCCAGUUAUAAAGUAGUGUAAAGUACCUAAAAUUGUACACAAGUACAGUAUUUCAAUUAAUACACUUGGUUAUUUUCCACCUUUGGAUGAAACUAGAUACCUAAUAUCAGACUUUUUAACAACUAACUUUAAUAGAUUUGAAGUUUUGGGGAAAGUUAAGACUUUUACAUUACAUUAUGUUUCUGGACUUUAAGUACAUACAUGGCAAAUGUACUCAAAACACAAAAUUAUUCAUACAAUAAUACAAUGCAGUAAUUAUUUGAUAAUGUGUUGAUUUUAGGUAUAAUGAUUGAUAGGGAAGGUGAGAAUAUUUCCCAUUGUGGCCCUCCCCCCCACGUUUUGUGAUGUGUGACAAGGUAGACACGGCACGUUUUAGAACCUGACGAGGAGGCAGUUCAGACCGAGGUGGAGACGCUGUCGCAUGGUUGUGAUAAUGAAAGAAAUCCAAGAACUCUUCAUGUUAGUUGCUAAUUGUGAGAUGCCAACGUAGUAUUUUCAGAGAAAUGACACGUUCAUACAGUACUUUUCACAGAUCAAAGACAAAGGUAUUCUGACAGAGGCACAGUAGAGUUAUGUCAUCUUAACGUUCUUUAACAUUCUUUAACAUACAGUUGGUAAUAUUAAUAUAUAUUCAUAUUAAUAUCUAACAACAUACUUUUUUUCCCUGGCCUUUAACCAAGUUUAAGUAUCUUAGCAUUUAUCUUAACCUUUUGUAUUUAUUGCAUUAUAUGUAUUAUAUGUAAAUUAUAUGUACAGCACUUUGGCCAACCUUAGUUGUUUUUAUAUGUGUUUCAUAAAUAAAGUUUGAGUUGAGUUGA